AGAGUUUGAUCAUGGCUCAGAAUGAACGCUGGCGGCACGCUUAACACAUGCAAGUCGAACGAGAUCUUCGGAUCUAGUGGCAGACGGGUGAGUAACGCGUGGGAACCUGCCCAGUAGUAGAGAAUAACUUGGGGAAACUUAAGCUAAUACUUUAUACGUCCUUCGGGAGAAAGCUUUAUGCGCUAUUGGAUGGGCCCGCGUUAGAUUAGUUUGUUGGUGAGGUAACGGCUCACCAAGGCGACGAUCUAUAGCUGGUCUGAGAGGAUGAUCAGCCACACUGGGACUGAGACACGGCCCAGACUCCUACGGGAGGCAGCAGUGGGGAAUAUUGGACAAUGGGGGCAACCCUGAUCCAGCGAUGCCGCGUGAGUGAUGAAGGCCCUAGGGUUGUAAAACUCUUUCGUCAGGGAAGAUAAUGACGGUACCUGAAGAAGAAGAUCCGGCUAACUCCGUGCCAGCAGCCGCGGUAAUACGGAGGGGUCUAGCGUUAUUCGGAAUUACUGGGCGUAAAGCGAGCGUAGGCGGAUUUGUAAGUUGGAGGUGAAAUCCCAGAGCUUAACUCUGGAACUGCCUUCAAAACUACAUUUCUUGAGUUUGGUAGAGGAGAGUGGAAUUCCUAGUGUAGAGGUGAAAUUCGUAGAUAUUAGGAGGAACACCAGUGGCGAAGGCGACUCUCUGGGCCAAUACUGACGCUGAGGUUCGAAAGCAUGGGUAGCGAACAGGAUUAGAUACCCUGGUAGUCCAUGCAGUAAACGAUGAGUGCUAGAUGUUGGGAAUUUAAAUUUCCAGUAUCGCAGUUAACGCGUUAAGCACUCCGCCUGGGAAGUACGGCCGCAAGGCUAAAACUCAAAUGAAUUGACGGGGACCCGCACAAGCGGUGGAUCAUGUGGUUUAAUUCGAAGAUACGCGAAGAACCUUACCGGCCCUUGACAUACCAAUCGCGGACUUAAGAGAUUAAGUCUUUCACUUCGGGUGGAUUGGAUACAGGUGCUGCAUGGCUGUCGUCAGCUCGUGUCGUGAGAUGUUGGGUUAA
rnacentral:rRNA from 1 species